GACGAACGCUGGCGGCGUGCUUAACACAUGCAAGUCGAACGGAAAGGCCCUGCUUUUGUUGGUCGCUCGAGUGGCGAACGCGUGAGUAACACGUGAGUAACCUGCCCUUGACUUUGGGAUAACUUCAGGAAACAGGGGCUAAUACCGGAUAGGAGCUCCUGCUGCAUGGUGUGGGUUGGAAAGUUUCGGUGGUUGGGGAUGGACUCGCUGCUUAUCAGCUUGUUUGUGUGGUAGUGGAUUACCAAGGCUUUGACGGAUAGCCGACCUGAGAGGGUGGCCGGCCACCAUGGGACUAAGAGAGGGCGCAGACUGCUACGGUAGGCAACAGGGGGGAAUAUUGCGCAAUGGGCGGAAGUCUGAUGCAGAGGCGCCGCGUGCGGGAUGACGGCCUUCGGGUUGUAAACCGCUUUCGCCUGUGACGAAGCGUGAGUGACGGUAAUUGGUAAAGAAGCACCGGCUAACUACGUG
rnacentral:rRNA from 1 species